UACAUGCAGUCGAGCGAACAGAUAAGGAGCUUGCUCCUUUGACGUUAGCGGCGGACGGGUGAGUAACACGUGGGUAACCUACCUAUAAGACUGGAAUAACUUCGGGAAACCGAAGCUAAUGCCGGAUAACAUGUUGAACCGCAUGGUUCUACAGUGAAAGAUGGCCUUGCUAUCACUUAUAGAUGGACCCGCGCCGUAUUAGCUAGUUGGUAAGGUAACGGCUUACCAAGGCAACGAUACGUAGCCGACCUGAGAGGGUGAUCGGCCACACUGGAACUGAGACACGGUCCAGACUCCUACGGGAGGCAGCAGUAGGGAAUCUUCCGCAAUGGGCGAAAGCCUGACGGAGCAACGCCGCGUGAGUGAUGAAGGUCUUCGGAUCGUAAAGCUCUGUUAUUAGGGAAGAACAAGUGCGUAAGUAACUGUGCGCACCUUGACGGUACCUAAUCAGAAAGCCACGGCUAACUACGUGCCAGCAGCCGCGGUAAUACGUAGGUGGCAAGCGUUAUCCGGAAUUAUUGGGCGUAAAGCGCGCGUAGGCGGUUUCUUAAGUCUGAUGUGAAAGCCCACGGCUCAACCGUGGAGGGUCAUUGGAAACUGGGAGACUUGAGUGCAGAAGA
rnacentral:rRNA from 1 species